AGUUACUAUUUAUUUUAGUGUGACUUGUUUAUAGUUUCUAAAAUUUUAUUGGUUUCAUUGAAAUUGAAAACAUAAGCGUUGAUUACUAUAAUUCUAGCUAUAGGUUGUGGGUAACCAUUACCACCCUAUUUAACAAACUUCUCAACUUAACCAAAAUUUACAAAUAGCAGCGAAAAGACUUUUUAAUUCAGAUUGGUGGGGGGGGGGCACACGCCCCUCCCACAAGUCAAUAAGCACACCACCAAUAAAUGAAAUUCUUGUAGCAAAAAAAAUUUUUAUGUUUUUUAUACUGUGUACUAGUUUCACUUAUUUUAUUAAGUAUA